AUACGGAGGAUCCGAGCGUUAUCCGGAUUUAUUGGGUUUAAAGGGUGCGCAGGCGGGAGAUUAAGUCGGCGGUGAAAUUUUGCAGCUCAAAUGUAAAAGUGCCUUCGAUACUGGUUUCCUUGAGUGUGGAUGAAGUAGGCGGAAUUUGUGGUGUAGCGGUGAAAUGCUUAGAUAUCACGAGGAACUCCGAUUGCGCAGGCAGCUUACUAAACCACUACUGACGCUCAGGCACGAAGGCGUGGGGAUCAAACAGGAUUAGAUACCCUGGUAGUCCACGCAGUAAACGAUGAUUACUGGCUGUUUGCGAUACAAUGUAAGCGGCUGAGCGAAAGCGUUAAGUAAUCCACCUGGGGAGUACGGUCGCAAGAAUGAAACUCAAAGGAAUUGACGGGG
rnacentral:rRNA from 1 species